rnacentral:rRNA from 1 species
AUUGAACGCUGGCGGCAGGCCUAACACAUGCAAGUCGAGCGAGCGGCGGACGGGUGAGGAAUGUAUGGGGACUGCCCGAUAGAGGCGGAUAACUACGGGAAACGGUAUGUAAUAACGCGUUCUAUGGGCUAACCCAUAUGGGAUUAGCUAGUAGGGGAGGUAAUGGCUCACCUAGGCAACGAUCCCUAGCUGGUCUGAGAGGAUGAUCAGCCACACUGUGACUGAGGCACGGCCCAGACUCCUACGGAGGCAGCAGUGGGGAAUAGUGCGCAAUGGGCGCAAGCCUGAUGCAGCCAUGCCGCGUGUAUGAAGAAGGCCCUAGGGUGGUAAAGUACUUUCAGUCGGGAGGCGUUACCUACAGAAAAAGCACCGGCUAACUCCGUGCCAGCAGCCGCGGUAAUAC